rnacentral:rRNA from 1 species
CCAUGCAGUCGAGCGAGGUGUAUACACCUAGCGGCGGACGGGUGAGUAACACGUGGGUAACCUGCCUCAGAGAGGGGAAUAGCCUUCCGAAAGGAAGAUUAAUACCGCAUAAUAUACGCAUUUAGCAUUAUGAGCGUAUCAAAGGAGAAAUCCGCUUUGAGAUGGGCCCGCGGCGCAUUAGCUAGUUGGAGAGGUAACGGCUCACCAAGGCGACGAUGCGUAGCCGACCUGAGAGGGUGAUCGGCCACAUUGGAACUGAGACACGGUCCAGACUCCUACGGGAGGCAGCAGUGGGGAAUAUUGCACAAUGGGGGAAACCCUGAUGCAGCAACGCCGCGUGAAUGAUGAAGGCCUUCGGGUCGUAAAGUUCUUUGAUUGGGGACGAUAAUGACGGUACCCAAAAAACAAGCCACGGCUAACUACGUGCCAGCAGCCGCGGUAAUACGUAGGUGGCGAGCGUUGUCCGGAUUUACUGGGCGUAAAGGAUGCGUAGGUGGAAAUUUAAGUGGGAUGUGAAAUCCCCGGGCUCAACCCGGGAACUGCAUUCCAAACUGGGUUUCUUGAGUGCAGGAGAGGAAAGCGGAAUUCCUAGUGUAGCGGUGAAAUGCGUAGAUAUUAGGAAGAACACCAGUGGCGAAGGCGGCUUUCUGGACUGUAACUGACACUGAGGCAUGAAAGCGUGGGGAGCAAACAGGAUUAGAUACCCUGGUAGUCCACGCCGUAAACGAUGGGUACUAGGUGUAGGGGGUAUCAACUCCCCCUGUGCCGUCGUUAACACAAUAAGUACCCCGCCUGGGGAGUACGGUCGCAAGAUUAAAACUCAAAGGAAUUGACGGGGGCCCGCACAAGCAGCGGAGCAUGUGGUUUAAUUCGAGGCAACGCGAAGAACCUUACCUAGACUUGACAUCUCCUGAAUUACCCUUAACCGGGGAAGCCCUUCGGGGCAGGAAGACAGGUGGUGCAUGGUUGUCGUCAGCUC